rnacentral:rRNA from 1 species
GACGAACGCUGGCGGCGUGCCUAAUACAUGCAAGUCGAGCGGAAGUUGGAGAGCUUGCUCUUCAACUUUAGCGGCGGACGGGUGAGUAACACGUGGGCAACCUGCCCUGCAGAUCGGGAUAACUCCGGGAAACCGGUGCUAAUACCGAAUAGUUUUCGCCACCUCCUGGUGGCGUACGGAAAGACGGUUUCGGCUGUCACUGCAGGAUGGGCCCGCGGCGCAUUAGCUAGUUGGUGGGGUAACGGCCCACCAAGGCGACGAUGCGUAGCCGACCUGAGGGGGUGAUCGGCCACACUGGGACUGAGACACGGCCCAGACUCCUACGGGAGGCAGCAGUAGGGAAUCUUCCGUAAUGGACGAAAGUCUGACGGAGCAACGCCGCGUGAGUGACGAAGGUUUCCGGAUCGUAAAACUCUGUUGUGAGGGAAGAACAAGUACCAACUAACUACUGGUACCUUGACGGUACCUCACCAGAAAGCCACGGCUAACUACGUGCCAGCCGCCGCUGUAAGAC